AGCUGAUGCACAUGGCGGUCUCCUCCCAGUGCCGCCGCAACAGCUGUUCCCCUCUGGAGGUUUUUGACCUUCACACUUCAUGGGCCUCGGUUCUCCGACGGCCCAUUUUU
rnacentral:sRNA from 1 species